UACGGAGGGGGGCUAGCGUUGUUCGGAAUUACUGGGGCGUAAAAGCGCACGUAGGCGGCUUUUGUAAGUUAGAGGUGAAAAGCCCCAGGGCUUAACCCUGGAAUUGCCUUUUAAGACUGCAUCGCUAGAAUCGUGGAGAGGUGAGUGGAAAUUCCGAGUGUAGAGGUGAAAAUUCGUAGAUAUUCGGAAGAACACCAGUGGCGAAGGCGACUCACUGGACACGUAUUGACGCUGAGGUGCGAAAA
rnacentral:rRNA from 1 species